GUCCUCAUAGCUCAACAGGACAGAGCAACGGUCUUCUAAACCGUAGGUUGCUGGUUCGAUUCCAGCUGGGGACA
rnacentral:tRNA from 2 species